rnacentral:misc_RNA from 1 species
UCGACGAUAUACGCACCGAUCAGCAUGCCUUCAAUAAAGCGAUGCGGAUCGGUUUCGAGGUAGUAGCGAUCCUUGAACGUCCCCGGCUCGCCUUCGUCGCCGUUGAUCGCCAUUAGCCGCGGCCCCGGUUCUCCAAGCACCGCGCGCCAUUUGCGGCCGGUCGGAAAGCCCGCUCCGCCAAGCCCGCGCAGCGAGGCGUCAUCGAGCGCCUUCAGCAAAUCUUCUUUCGUCAUCGCGCC